GCAUGUUAAAUCUGCUGAUUUUGAUUCAUUAAGAUAUUAGGAUGGAUGGAGUCACACAAGCUGUUGAAAAUCUUAAGAAAGAAUGGGGCCAAGCAGUUUCACAGCUUGAUGAGAACAUUACUGCAAUUGAAUCAUGUGGAAAAACAGGGAAAGGGACAGAGGAAGCAAAUUAUCUUCCAAGGUUGAAUGGUUCUGCACAGGAUGCUCUGCAGUUGCUGAAGUCACUGCAGUUCCAGCUUGAUCUUCUAGCACAGCAGCUUCCCACUUUUGAUGAGGUGCAGUCUGGUCAAGCAACCUUGAAGUCAUGGGAUGAACAAUACAAGAAGCUUCGUAUUAGCCUGAGGAAUGCUAACUUAUAAGCAAAAGACAACAUUAGACAAGCUGCUAAAGAGGAGGUACGUGAUUAUGCCUGGACUUUGAUGAUAUUAAUCCAAGUGAUGAGUUGUCUGAGUGGUACAUGCUUCUAGGGUUUAUUUGGAUGGCUCCUGGACGGAGCUGCCUGGCCUAGGAAUCCAUCCCAGGCGUCCGAUUUUGGUCGCAUGGGGCUAGGAUGAUUGCCUGGCCGGCGAGCUGCCUGGCAAGGUAGCAACCAAACAGGCCCCUAGAGUGUCACCAAUCACCAAUGCAAUGUGAAAGAUUAAGAAUUCAUGUUAAAUUUUAAGGACAUAUUCUUUAUAUGCAGUAUGUCUUCUCAGAGGUUUUUUAUGUACUCAUUUAAGUUCAAAAGCACCAUUGAAACUAAUGCUGCUUUAGAUUUUUGCAAUUUCCCUGGCAAAAUUAGCAAGAAAAUGACCUAUAGGCACCCUACCACGUUUUUAGAGCAUCGCAGGUGCCAUUAUAACUUGGCUAUCGGUUUCUAAUUGACUUUUCUCUAGAGGACACUUCUUCUAGGCAAUGGUGAAGAGUCUACCAUCCGUAGGCGUAAUCUCCAGUAAGUUGAUUUCAAUUAGGUCUCUUUCCCUUAAGACAAUAUAUAUAUAUGGGAUAUUUAAGGAGCUUUUAUAAUUUAAUCAGUUACAUGUGUAUCCCAUCCAUCUGGUUUGAUCAAAUUCAGGUUACCUGAAAUUUAAAAAGCAGAUAAUGUGGGCUGUCAUUUGUGAAUUCUAGAACAUAAAAAACUGAUCAAGCCUCCUAUUACAUGAUAUUGUGUUAAACAUAAAACACUGAUGCUCUUUCUUUCACAACAAGCUGGCCAAGUUUAUGGAGUUCCUCUUUAUGGAUCUCUACUGAUCAAGCCUGGAGUUUACCCAGAGCAAAGACCAUGUAAUGAGGACACCCGCAGAAAAUGGAUUGAGGCCCUUGCUCAGCCAAACAAGCGACUGUGUUCAUUGUCUGAGCACGUUCCUCAUGGUUACCGUAGGAAAUCACUUUUUGAAGGUCUAAUUCGAUAUAAUGUUCUGUUGCUAAGAGCAACAUGGUUUAUUAAAGUCACAUACCUAAACCAGGUUUGGAAUCUCUUGUAACCUUCUCUUAUUUACUAUCAAAUGCCACAUUGCACCAUUUUGAUGAUGUGUAUUCAAUUUUAUAUAGCUACAGACCCGACAGACACCUAACAGUAUUUCAGUAGCGGGUUCUGAUAACCAACGCUCUCAGUGGACAAAGGAUGUUGUUGAAUAUUUACAACAUAUGUUGGACGAAUUUUGUUCUAAAGAGGGUGCAUUCGUGCAUCCAUCCUUUAGAGAGCAGUCAUCACCAGGACCUACUGCUGGAACCAAUCAGAUAAAAAUGAAAACUAAAGCAUCUCCAGCUGCUGGAGACAUUGAAGAACACUUGGUGCACUUCAAAUGGUGGUAUAUGGUUCGUCUCAUCCAAUGGGAUCUCACAGAAGAAUUGCUUGUUCCCUCAGUACUUAUCGAAUGACUAUCUAACCAACUCCAGGUACUUCUGUCGAGAAUUCAAUCGACGUGAAAGUUUAUGUUUCAGUUCCUAUUCAUCUAAGGAAUACCCACUUUUCUAGGAAUAUGUUUCGGUUUAACUUCAAUCUAUAGAUUCUUUUGUCUAAAAGCAUGCUGCUACAAUGGAUCCUAAACAGGUAAGAAAACACAUGAAGGCAGUCCAUUAGUCGUAGAACAAAAGAAUUUACUGUUUGGUAACUUCUGUUUACUGUGGGUUCUUUUUUUUUGCUUCUAGGACAGCAUCCAUGUGAUUGAUCCUUUUUGAAACUGAAUUUAAUUAGAUUACAGCCUAAAUGCCUAAUAGCAUGUUGCUACAGUGGAUACUAAACAAAUUCUAAGGAAUACUCACUUUUCUAGGAAUAUGUUUCAGUUUACCGUCAAUCUGUAAGAUUAAAGCCUAAAAGCAUGCUGCUACAAUGGAUCCUAAUUAGCUAAGAAAAAAAUGAAGACAUACCAUUAGUCGUAGAACAAAAGAAAACAUCAUAAAAUUUAGGGUAUGAAAUCCACACAAACAAGUGGUACGGGCGUGUUUUUCCCAAAUAUAUUUUGGGUACUUCAAAUGACAUUGAUCUUGGUAAAGCUGACAAUAUUCGUAUCUUGAAAUUACAUUGCUUACUUAGCAUGAUGUAUAAGUUUUAGUGCACAAUUUAGGUACUUGAAUUUUCAGAGAUGCUCUGAAUUUAAUUACUCAAAUUUUCUAAUUGAGACACUGAUGGGUUAGCAUUGCAGGGGAGUCAAUUUAAUUUACCAAAAUUGCAUGCUCAGCGGGUUCCCUAUUUUAGUAACAUCUAGAGUCAAUUUUGAUUUACCAAAACUGCAUGCUCAGUGGUUUUUUGUAACUGGAAUUUACAUUAUUUUACAGAAUUCCAUAAUUCUUUAGUGCUUAUUUGUGUUUUAUUUUCAGGUUGCAAAGUAGACAUCCCCUAUUUCUAUAGUUCAUGCUUCAUGGAUAUGGUUCAAUAAAUUGAGGACCUGCGCAAACAACACUCAAUAACAAUAUUGUUCUUCUAUGCUCAUUAUUUGUUCUCAUAUCCUCCUUUUCUUGUUUUCUGCCCUUUUGACACCACUAUACUCUGGUUUGACAUGUGGAAGCGUGGAUCAUGCAAUUCUUGUCAUGUGCUGCAGAUGAUACUUUAAUGUCGUGUCAUGUUGUUACUGUUAUCAAGAUUCAUGAACAUGGCAUUAUCUGUCAUUUGAAAUUAUAUGUUAUCUGAAAUUUCUUUCUCCCCUUGUGCUUAUGAUAUAUGUCUCGUGUGUGGAAUUUGGAUAUGGAUUAUGGAAGUAUCAUUAACAAUGUAAUUAUAGAACGGCUUUUGUGCUUAUGAAAUAUGACUCGUGGGUGGAAUUUGGAUAUGGAUUAUGGGAGUACAAUUAACAAUGUAAUUAUAGAACGGUUUUUCUUACCAAUAUAUUGCUGGUGGUAUUGAGCACUUCAUGAAUUUUGUACUGUGAAUAUUAUGUAUUUUCAAGGACCUUAAGACGAACAACCAUGAUAACUAUGAAAUUAAUUUUGAAGACAUUGAGUACCUUUUUAUGGCUUUAGCUUUAGAGCAUUAUAUCAUUAUUGUUUGUGUGUUCGCGUAUUUUAACACACAAUAAUGCUCAAUUUUUAUGAUAAAUAUAACCAGAAAGUGGUGCUUAUCAAGAUGUGGGCUAUGAUGUUUGAAUACAUAAAUGCUAAUGGUUGGCUAAACCAUGGUGCAGAGGUUAUGCCUUUUCUCUUCUGCAUGUUGUCAACAUUGCCAAGUUGGAAAAUAAAUGCUUAGUGACUAAUAUAUUGUCAAAGCUGAAGUCAAGUAAAACAGGGUUGAGGAGGG